AACACAAACAAAGGAACAUGUGACAGAUGAAAACCAAACUGAAAGUCCAUGUUAACUGAAACUAACGUGACAAUACGCCCCCUCCGGCAAGUCCUCACACCGUGGAAUGUGGAUGAUGGAUCGAGAGAUGGUGGAGGUUUAGGAGGAGGACGAGGAUGUGGCGAAGGGCUGGAAAGAAGGAAAGGUGACUGGAUGGCAAAGGCAAGCAGAUUGGACUGUGGAGAUGCAGAAUGAUGGUUCCAGAUGUUGCCGACCCAGAGCACGACCAGGAUGAUAGCCCACGGCGGAGUAGAUGGAGGGAGGAGCCAUGGUGGUAACUUACGGGGCAUUGUCCUGGUGACGAUCGACAGAUGGGCAGCCGUUGGAAGAAGAGCCCCUUGCACAGACGUAGAGCCGAUGGAGCGAAGAAGCGCCGAUGAUCCUGGUGACCACGACUGAGCUGCAGUGACAACCCCCUGAGAAGGAAACGGGGAUCCUGAGGGCUGAGGCCGAGCCGGUGUGACUGAGGGCGUAGGUGAAGACUGAGGGAAGGCGUAGCUAGCCGGAGCCGAAGGGGUGGAGGGCCAGAGAGUAGGGUUGGGUAUCAUUUUAAUUUUAACGAUUCUAAUUCCAAUUCUGCUUAUCGAAUCCGGUUCUCAUCGAUUCUCGAUUCCGAUUCCAAUGUUUUUUUAUGUAGAGAAAAAAAAAAAAAAAGAGCAAAUACUUCAAGAAUAAUGUUUUUACCUUUUAUUCUUGCCACAUUUAGGCUAUAACCAGUAGGCUGUAACUGUUUUUGUACCUGAGUGUGAGACGCUGCUAUUGCUAAUAUUAGCUGUUGUAACAGAGUGAAAUAUCUGUCACAGGUUUUUUUUUUCCGUAGGAUAUUGGAAUUAAAAAUUCUAGAUCUAAUAUACUACAAGGCACUAGAGGGCACUAGUUAGACUUGCAUGGUUAGAAUAUAAGGUGAGUGGUUGCCUGAAGAAGUAGUCAGUUGGGUAGAGGGAAUACAUGUUUUUUUUUUUAAUGGCUGCCUUGAACUGGUUGUAUAUAAAGUUCUAGUUGGGAAUCCUUUGGAUUUAAGCUCAACAUUGUGGGCAGGUGCCAAGUCCUGCUGGAAAAUGAAAUCAGCAUCUCCAUAAAGCUUGUCAGCAGAAGGAAGCAUGAAGUGCUCUAAAAUUUCCUGGUAGAUGGCUGCAUUGACUGUGGACUUCAGAAAACACAGUGGACCAAUACCAGCAGAUGACAUGGCAGCCAGUGCAAGGAUUCCGAGAUCGAAGUGAUCACGUGAUCAAGCUGUGCUCAGGAUUCUGGAAGUGGAAUUUUGCAUGUAUUUAAAAUGUAUUUGUUUGGAAUCUUCAGCAACUAAAUAAAAUUAGCAGUGCUAAGAUACACUCUAAAAAAUCUUGGGUUAUUUUUUCUACCCAAGUUCUGGGGUGAGCCUUUUGGGUAAUUUGUUUGGGAUAUUUUUCCAGUGGGUAGUUUUGUGUUACCCAGCUCCUGGGUCGGACGUAACAACCCGGUGUUUGGGUAGUUUCGUGUUACCCAGCUCCCAGGAGAUGUAAUAACCCAGGGGUUGAGUUAUUUAUCGUGGGCUUUUUGCACCCUCUUCAAGAGAGAGCAGUGCAGCUCCGUCAAACUGGUGCAUGUCUUCAGUAAAAUACAGGUGGGCCCUGCUGAAAAAAACAAUAGAAACCUUUACAGAAAUUCUAAUGGUUUCCACUGAUGAAUUAUGAAUUACUGCAUCAAUGCGGCGUGGCAUGGAGGCAAUCAGCCUGUGGCAUUGCUCAGGUGUGAUGGAAGCCCAGGUUGCUUUGAUAGCAGUCUUCAGGUCAUCUGCAUUGUUGGGUCUGGUGUCUCUCAUCUUCCUCUUGACAAUACCCCAUAGAUUCUCUAUGGGGUUCAUGUCAGGCGAGUUUGCUGGCCAGUCAAGCACAGUAACACCAUGGUCAUUGAACCAGCUUUUGGUACCUUUGGAAGUGUGGGCAGGUGCCAAGUCCUGCUGGAAAAUGAAAUAAGCAUCUCCAUAAAGCUUGUCAGCAGAAGGAAGCAUGAAGUGCUCUAAAAUUUCCUGGUAGAUGGCUGCGUUGACUGUGGACUUCAGAAAACACAGUGGACCAAUACCAGCAGAUGACAUGACAGCCAGUGCAAGGAUUCCGAGAUCGAAGUGAUCAUGUGAUCAAGCUGUGCUCAGGAUUCUGGAAGCGGAAUUUUGCACGUAUUGAAAAUGUAUUCGUUUGGAAUCUUCAGCAACUAAAUAAAAACUACUGAUGAGCUUUCCAGACAGAGUUUGCAGAAUCCGCCACCCGUCAGUCACAGAUAGUCCCCGCCCACAACUCACACCAUUGGUCGAGUCAAGAGCCGUUGGACUCGACGGGUCGCUCAAAACAAAUAGAGAAAUUGUUGUCGGGCCUUUUUACUUUUCGCGUAAAUUUACUAUUUUAACACCGAAAAAGUUACAUACUUUAGCUUUAAGUUGGGACAAGAUGGAGAAUGGUGGCUUUCAUAUGGAUACUGUUUUACUUAAAGAUGAAUAAAAUUCGACUGUCAGAAAAGCUGGACAAGCAGAAAGCUGACGUGGUAGGGAACAGGUAGAAUAUUAUUUAACAAACACAUUUUGUCAUCGAGAGAAAAACAAGAUAGAGAGAAGGCAACAGAUCAAGGGAAUCAAAGGAUUUUCCCUAACAUUUAUUUCACGCCGCACCGCAACAGCUUGAAGCGGCCCAUAGACAUCUAUAGCGGUGCGACGCAUCAAUGCGAAAUUUAUAAAUCCUGACUGCUGUUGGAAGCUUCGCAACCGCGUGCAUUACCUCAGGAACGGAUCGAAGAACUGAUAGCGACGCUGGUCUUGACACGUUCAGACACUCUGGAAAUGAUGCAACAGUUCUGUGAACCCAACGCAGGUCUGGCACUGAACCAGCUCUCACAAUCUGCUUCCAUAAAACCAAACAAAGAGUGUGUCAUCAUGCACACUAAAUAUCUGCUUCAAAGCACUGACUUUUCUUUUUUAAUGAAUCCAGACAUUGUUCAGCCAUUUUGCUGUGGAUUGAGUAGGAGCAUUCAGACAUUAUGAAAUCAUUUGCAGCAAAUGCAUUAAGGAUCACACAAGGAAUAGAAACUGGAACCAGAGCUGUACUCCAUAAACUUAAUUAUUUAAAUUUGAAAAAAGUUAUUUUUCCUAAGUUUAUUAAAUAGACAGAAUACGUUUCUGUAACGCAGUAAGCUACAUUUCUGAUUCCCAUCCUCACAUAGUCAAGUCAAGUCACCUUUAUUUAUAUAGCGCUUUUUACAAUGUAGAUUGUGUCAAAGCAGCUUUACAUUGAUAACUGGUACAUUGGCUGCACAGCAGCUCUUAAAGAAUAGUGUCAAUGCAGGCAGAUCAAAAGCACUGUUGAAUAUCAAAUGUCAAGUCAAGUGUCCCCAUACACAGCUCAUACACAGCUCUGAGCUGAAGGAAACUUUAAACCGUGUUCAUAAUCACGUCUCGCUCCGCCUUCAGCAGAAAUACUUAAUUCUUCAGCUCAAACUGAACUGAUUGUGUUUAUUAAACUCUCGCAUCUCCACAUCAAACAUGUUCCUACUUUCAGUCCUCUUGGGCGGACUGAUCAUCUGUCCUCUGAUUCUCAAGCUGUUUUCCCGUAUUUCUGGACAGACUUUAUCACACAGAGCUGUUGCGGAUUUUACUCAAAUUCGUUUCCCGCAGAAGAAGGCGACCUCUUUAUUUCGCUUUGGAUAGAUUUUUAGAACAGGUCGAAACGCGGCCGAACAAGUCGUUCAUUGUUUUCGAGAACGAAAG